rnacentral:pre_miRNA from 7 species
GAUAAUAAUAAUAAUUCGUGUGCACUAUAAUGCUGAGAGAAGUAGCAGUUACUUUAUUCUAUAAGUAACUGCAACAGCUCUCAGUAUUGUAAGGCUCAACAAACGCAGGGAUGGUAGC